rnacentral:tRNA from 1 species
GGGCGAUUAGCUCAGUUGGUAGAGCAGCUGACUCUUAAUCAGCGGGUCACAGGUUCGAGCCCUGUAUCGCCCA